UACGUAGGGUGCAAGCGUUAAUCGGAAUUACUGGGCGUAAAGCGUGCGCAGGCGGUUCUAUAAGACAGAUGUGAAAUCCCCGGGCUCAACCUGGGAACUGCAUUUGUGACUGUAGAGCUGGGGUACGGUAGAGGGGGAUGGAAUUCCGCGUGUAGCAGUGAAAUGCGUAGAGAUGUGGAGGAAUACCGAUGGCGAAGGCAGCCUCCUGGGCCAACACUGACGCUCAUGCACGAAAGCGUGGGGAGCAAACAGG
rnacentral:rRNA from 1 species